rnacentral:rRNA from 1 species
GACGGAGGGUGCGAGCGUUGUUCGGAAUUAUUGGGCGUAAAGCGCGUGUAGGCGGCUUGGCUAGUCGGGUGUGAAAUCCCUCGGCUUAACCGGGGAGUUGUGCUCGAAACGGCCAGGCUCGAGUGCGGGAGGGGGAAGUGGAAUUCCCAGUGUAGAGGUGAAAUUCGUAGAUAUUGGGAGGAACACCGGUGGCGAAAGCGACUUCCUGGACCGACACUGACGCUGAGACGCGAAAGCGUGGGGAG